CAUAACAGUCAGUUGCUCUCGUUGGGCCUGCUAAACUUUCACAUCAUGACUAAAAGGCAACAAUACAUUAAGUUCCUCAUAUACCCGUUUAAAAUCCAUAAAAUAAGCCGUGAGAGACUUAUCCUCUUUCUCAGCACGGUAGAAUGCCUUACAAACAUCAUAAAUACAGGUGAUAUUCCCUUUACCAGAAUACAGAAAAUCUAAGUAAUCCAUCAAUUCCUUAACAAAUUCACAGUGAUUAAUUAAACUAAUUCCUCACUAUGAAUCGAGUUUCGAAGAUGCAAAAACAACCGAGCAUCCUCCCUUAGCUAAGUUUGUCGUGUAUCAUCAGUGAGUGGAUCUUUAGUAAGGUGAUCAUCCUUAUCAAUGCUACGCAAAUAGACCCUAACAGUCUUACUCUACUCCAGGUAAUUCAAACCAUUAAGUUUGUGUUCCGUGAUCUUAGUCAUCAUCGGAAUCACAUCAGAAAUAAUAUUCUUAUUGUCUGCCAUUUGUUGAGAGAGAAAACUAACCGAAACGCUAAUUCAAAGUGCUUAUAGCAGCAAAAUAAUCCAAAAUCACAAAUCAAGCAAAUACCAAAAUAAGAUCUGAGAGCCAAACCUCAGAAGUCCUUUAAUGGUAUACUGGAUCAGGCAACAGCACACAGUGGUGGAAUGAAGGGGUUGAGGCGACGCCGGCGAUGUUGAUCGGGAUUGAAACGGCCGGUCGGCGGCAAAGGUCUCUCCUGAGCUGGGUAGUGAGAACAAAUAGUCACCCUAGAUUGAUGACCUGCUCUGAUACCAUGUAGAAAGAGAUGAUUCUCAUUUAUUUCAAUUAAUCUGUACAUGGGUAUAUAUAUACAAUUGAUUUCUAUAAUUGUGUUCUACUAAUUAGGAAGAAAUCCUAAAUAAGAAAUUCUAUAUAGGAAUACAGAAUACAGAAUAUACAGAGAAAUAAUAUAGUGAUUGACUUUCCAUAACAUUGUGAUUGACUUUCCAUAACAAGUCUGAUUCUUAUUAUUGCUUUUGGAUGCUACUGCAGCUUCUCCUGAAGCUGUACUGCCCUGAAGAAAAUACAAUCCUAAAAAUCAAACUGCUCUUCAUGAGUACCAUAGAGCAUUUGCACACUUUGAGAACUCCAUUCUCUGCAUGGUAUCUAAAUCCAUGAGAGUCAAAUGUCCCAAGAAAAAUCAGGUUCCUCUUUAGUUCAGGAACAUGCCAACAUUUUAUAGUUCUAACAACGCCAUCAAACAUCCUCAAUUUGAUGUUACCAAUUCCUUCCACAGAUAAUGCACGAUCAAUGCCCAUAAGCACCUUGCCACUCAUCUGUUUGUAAGUAACAAAUAAGUUUCUGUGUGGACACAUAUGAUAAGUAGCACUAGUAUCAACAAUCCAGGAAUUUUGUCUAUGAUCUGAAAUCACAAAUAAUAUUUUCCCAGCACUGUCAUCACCAUCAGAAUCGAUAAAAUUGUCAACCACAUUCGCAGAACUUUCUAGUUGCUUUCCCUUUUAUUUUUCAACUUGGAACAUUCUCUCCUGUAAUGACAUUGCUCCCCACACUCAAAACAGUUAGCCUUUUUCAUUCUUGUCUUAGAUCUGACCUUAGAUUUUUUCCUGCGGGAAGAACCCUCCCUUGAAUGUGUUUUUCCCCUGCUCACCAUACCUUCCCCCUCAAAUCUUUCUCUAUUAUCUGGGAAAUUUUUUUCAACUCCUUCGAUUUUAAAAAAUUACUAACAUCGUUUAGUGAAAUAAUGUCUUUCCCAUACAACAAAGUAUCAACAAAAGUCUCAUAGGAGGGUAGCAAAGAACAUAACACAAUAAAGGCCUGAUCCUCACUAUCUAUAUCAAUAUCAAUAUUCUUAAGGUCUAUAAUGAUUGAAUUAAAUUCAUCCAUAUGUUCUUUAAUAGGCGUACCUUCACUCAUUCUCAUAUUGUAAAGUCUUUUCUUUAGGUACAGGCGGUUGGUCAGCAAUUUAGCUGAGUAUAACUCCUCCAAUUUCUUUCAUGUUGCAGACGCUGAGCUUUCACCAGCAAUCUCGCGUAGGAUAUUAUCAGUUAUACUCAUGAAAAUCGCACUUAAAGCUCUCUCCUUUAGAUCAGCCUUCUCUGCCUCUUUCACACAUUCUGGAAAGUUAUCCUUGAUUGCCUUUCAUAGACCUUGCAGGAUCAAGGAAGAUUUGAUUUUAAUCUUUCACAGACUGAAACUCGAUCCACCAUUAAACUUUUCUAUCUCAUACUUCAUUGAAGACGACGCCAUCUAUAAACCCUAGGUUUUGCGCACAAAGCUCUGAUAUCAGUUUGUUAUGACAGGCACGCAAAUCUAAGGCACACACACAUAUCGCACAAUCACACAGUAUAGAAAAGAGAAAAAGAAUAACACGGGAUUUAACAUGGUUCAACCGUAAGGUCUACGUCCACGGGCAAGAUAAGAGAAAAAAGUUCCACUGUGAUGAAAAGAGCAAGAUACAAUCACUUAGAACUCUCAACUCCUAACCCCAUUGUAUUUCCCGAAUAUCUCACAACUCUAUCGGCUCGUGCCCUCCGCUACCACCACAGAUCUCACUCUUUACCCCAAUCGGGUCGCAGCCUAAAACUUUUGGGUCAGAUAACAAUUCGGGUCUAUAAAAAUAUAUCCAAAAUUCAAGCCAAAAAAUAAGAAGGGUAUUGUACUGUCUUUUUUGCAUUUGUAUGAAAUUUAUGUGCUGUGUGUAAGUAUCAUAUCUGGAAUUAUCCAAUUGAAAUUUUUGCCAGCCAGAAGUUGGGUUUUAGUAUCUGAAUAUCUGAUUGAGUUUGCUUUCACAUCAGACAUCUGUUGUUCCUGAAAUGGGUUUUAGUGCAACAUCCAGCUUAAAGAAAUCAAGUUUAAUUUUGGUUGGAUCUGGCCUUCAACCAUUUGAGAAUCAUGGUUCUAUGGUAGAUUUCUUCUAGCCUGAUGGAUCACAUGAGAAUUGAAUGCAAGAAAAUAUAUAGAAGUGAAAUAUGAGUUUUAUAUGAGGAGCUAAGGUUUUUGUAGCUUGUUUUCAUUUCAAUUGCAUCAAGAUUCCAAGUUAAAUAGGACUGAUGUUGCAACAGUAGGAAAAGGAGAGUGACAUUAUGCAAUUUGAUCCAAUCAAGUCCCUAAUAGUGAUUCUGGGCUUCUGGCCUUGAGGUCUUGUUUUCAAGCGUGCCUAAAAUGUCUCACAUUUCUUUUUGACCCAUUUGAAAGCUCAUUCUAUACAAAAUGAGUGGAAUAAUUUGUGUUUUAAGUGAGGCAUGUGAUUAUUGUCUUUGAACAUGAAGUGCUGACUUUCUUUCCCUUGAUUUUAUUAGCAUGGCAAAAUUGUACCUAGGGAGGAGUUCUAAAAGAUUUUGGCAAAAGAGAAGACAGAACAACUUGAGGUAAUUCAGAUAAAAAGAUCAACUUGGUUUAUUCAUUUACCAAAAUGGCUUAUGAAUUUCUUUUAUGAGGAAGAAAUAUAUUUCCAGUUCUUUUUGUUAUGUUUCAAGGAGAUCUUUUCCUUCCCUCUGUUCCUCCUACACCCUUUAGACUGCAAUGAUUCUCCGUUUGUGGCCUGACAUUGUCUGUUUUUCCUAUUGUUUAUAUUUAACAAGUUCCAUAUUGGAUCAAAUUGUACACGUGAUCCUAAUCUUCAAAAACUUCUUAAAAUUUUCCGGAUAGAAUGCUUUAACUGACUUGUACACGUUCUUCAAUCUAGUUUGUGGAUGCAAUUUCUAAAACUUUUCAUUUAUUCCCAGUUUCUGCUGUAAGUUAUCUACUGAGGCUUUUAGAUACAGAUAGGCAGUUACAUUUUUUGGUUGUAUUCUAAUAGAGGAUAAAAUGGUCAGUACAUUUCCUUGGCAAGUAAGAUUUGGCCCUACUUUCCCUUUAUCCUUACCACAUGAGCCCAUGUUCUGGAGUUCUAAUUCUUUAUUAAUUCAACUUGAAAAUCUAUUAAUGAUGGAUCAUGGUGCACUAGAUCCUCUUUCUUCUUUGUUAGAUGAACUACUGACUGCAAUCAUAUUGUGCUUUCAACUUAAAAGGCAAAUGUCAGGAAAUUUGAAAAAAAAAUGGAAAAUAUAUAGGGUUUUCCAUUGACCUUAUCCGACAUGGAAAGGUUUUUGUUGAAACAAUCAAUGCCUUUUGUGAAGCAAAGCAUCCUAUUUUAUAUAGGAAUUUCAUGUACACAUUCAUUACAGAAAGAAAGAUUCAACUGGAUUGGUGUUUUGGGAUGCUUGGAGAAUAUGUGCCUCUUGAUUUUGGUAAAAUUCAAUUCAGCAUUAUCGAAAAGUUGACACAAAUGUGCACUUAUACAUAAAAAAGAACUGUACUAAUAUAUUUAGGCCCGUUGAUGAAAUGAUGAGAUGAGUGAACCAUCAGAACUAUUUGUUUAUGAGUCAGACUUCAAGUUCAUCAAUUAGUGUCUAUUUAAUGCUUAAAUUAUAAUACACAGCAAUUUUUUCUUUAUCUCAAUUGAGAGAUUACCAUGCAUCUGCGGACAAUGAUAAUAGAAUUCAUUUUUCUUACGAUGGAGUAUUUAUCCAUGAGUCACAAACUUCAUCCUUCUAUUUGUGCUUGUCUGAUAUUGAUGAAGAGGAGGAAGAGGAAGAGGAGGAGAAAAUUACACUCAAUUGGAGUGUUCUAAAGUCUACUCCUCAGCUUUGCAAGUCAAAGGACCAGGAGAUUGAAAAUUCACUGGGCCAAUCUGUGUUCUGACAAAUUUGAUUCCUGAAUAUUAAUCACCCAGGUUUUUCUUUUUUUUCUUCCACACAUUUCAAGCACAUGCAUUUUUUUCUUGCCAUCUUUCAUCCUGCAGGAAAAACCUAAAAAGGAUGAUUCCAUGCCUAUUGAGGAGGCAAUAGAAGAUUCAGAGAACUAGACUGAUUUUCUCAUGGGCUUUAGAGAAGAAGAGUGAUACUUAGCUACUUUUGUACUUCAAACAAGAAGUUUCUUGGAGGCAUAUGUAUUACGAAAUCCAGUGAUUGAAACUAAGAGUUGAUUAGAUCAAUGAAAGGUUGGAGUAAGUUUCAUGA